rnacentral:rRNA from 1 species
UCUUGCAAACUAAAGAUGGCGACCGGCGCACGGGUGAGUAACACGUAUCCAACCUGCCGAUAACUCGGGGAUAGCCUUUCGAAAGAAAGAUUAAUAUCCGAUAGUAUAUUAAAACCGCAUGGUUUUACUAUUAAAGAAUUUCGGUUAUCGAUGGGGAUGCGUUCCAUUAGUUUGUUGGCGGGGUAACGGCCCACCAGCUCGAUGGAUAGGGGUUCUGAGAGGAAGGUCCCCCACAUUGGAACUGAGACACGGUCCAA